GAACAAAUAUUUUGGUGAUGUGUGAUAUGCAAAUUCCUCCAUAUCUACAAUCCAGGACAAGUAGCCUUUUGCAACUCAUCUUUCUUUUGACUCAUGCUUCACAAUCUCGGGUGGAGUACCGUUACCGUAUUCUAUUCAACGCAUGUUCGAGACCAGCUAGUCCCCACGCUCAACCGUACAAAUUCAAAAACAACUCCUACCCGUAAUCCUUCAUGUUGUGUGUAUUUUGGCAUCUUAGUCGUCACAGUUUAACCCGCAAACUUCCAAC
rnacentral:misc_RNA from 1 species